rnacentral:rRNA from 1 species
AUUGAACGCUGGCGGCAGGCCUAACACAUGCAAGUCGAACGGUAACAGGAAGAAGCUUGCUUCUUUGCUGACGAGUGGCGGACGGGUGAGUAAUGUCUGGGAAACUGCCUGAUGGAGGGGGAUAACUACUGGAAACGGUAGCUAAUACCGCAUAACGUCGCAAGACCAAAGAGGGGGACCUUCGGGCCUCUUGCCAUCGGAUGUGCCCAGAUGGGAUUAGCUAGUAGGUGGGGUAACGGCUCACCUAGGCGACGAUCCCUAGCUGGUCUGAGAGGAUGACCAGCCACACUGGAACUGAGACACGGUCCAGACUCCUACGGGAGGCAGCAGUGGGGAAUAUUGCACAAUGGGCGCAAGCCUGAUGCAGCCAUGCCGCGUGUAUGAAGAAGGCCUUCGGGUUGUAAAGUACUUUCAGCGGGGAGGAAGGGAGUAAAGUUAAUGCCUUUGCUCAUUGACGUUACCCGCAGAAGAAGCACCGGCUAACUCCGUG